GCUUGUCUCAAAGAUUAAGCCAUGCAUGUCUAAGUACAUACUUUUGCACGGUGAAACCGCGAAUGGCUCAUUAAAUCAGUUAUGGUUUCUUAGAUCGUUUCUUUUACAUGGAUAACUGUGGUAAUUCUAGAGCUAAUACAUGCGAAAAAUCUCGACUCACGGAGAGAUGCUUUUAUUAGAUCAAAACCAAACGGCUUCGGCCGUCUCAUUGGUGACUCUGAAUAACUUUGGGCUGAUCGUAUGGCCUUGUGCCGACGACGUUUCCUUCGAAGGUGUGCCCUAUCAACUGUCGACUGUGAUAUAGACGCUCACAGUGGUUUUGACGGGUAACGGGGAAUCAGGGUUCGAUUCCGGAGAGGGAGCCUUAAAAACGGCUACCACAUCCAAGGAAGGCAGCAGG
rnacentral:rRNA from 1 species